GUGGGGAAUAUUGGACAAUGGGCGAAAGCCUGAUCCAGCAAUGCCGCGUGAGUGAAGAAGGCCUUCGGGUUGUAAAGCUCUUUUACCCGGGAAGAUAAUGACUGUACCGGGAGAAUAAGCCCCGGCUAACUCCGUGCCAGCAGCCGCGGUAAUACGGAGGGGGCUAGCGUUGUUCGGAAUUACUGGGCGUAAAGCGCACGUAGGCGGUCUUUUAAGUCAGAGGUGAAAGCCCGGGGCUCAACUCCGGAAUUGCCUUUGAAACUGGAAGACUUGAACACGGGAGAGGUGAGUGGAAUUCCGAGUGUAUAGGUGAAAUUCGUAGAUAUUCGGAGGAACACCAGUGGCGAAGGCGGCUCACUGGACCGUUGUUGACGCUGAGGUGCGAAAGCGUGGGGAGCAAACAGGAUUAGAAACCCCAGUAGUCC
rnacentral:rRNA from 1 species